GCAACACAGCCGACCACUUUCUCUCUUCCUAUUGCUCUCCCCUUCGUUCGAAACCUUUACCAGAGCCUCCAUCGCCACCGGUCGGCGGCCCGGUGACCUAAAUCAACCACCAAACUCAUUUCAUCCCUCGCCUCACUAUUCUAACCUCCGAUCUAAGGUCUAAAACACAAAAAAGAAACUUUAAAAGCCUCAAAGAAACCGUCGAUCUCUGGACUUCACUCUCUAAGCUUACGAAUGGUGGCUCUCCAUUUCUCCGGCAACGGGCUUCAAACGGCAGAGCCCUCACACUCAAGUAAAAUCAAUUAAACCCUCCCCUCAUCAUACUGUUUUUAUCUCUCGGUCGAAAGCCCCAAUGGUUCCCUGUUCUUAACAGCCACCACAGAUCAGUGGCUAUCUCACCUCUAACCGCCUCCUCAAACCACCAUCAACACGUCCCCUAACCUACAGAGCCUAUUUCUCAACAUCUACGCCCUGAGACCAAACGAUCGAGACCACUUAACCGAACCGAUUCAGUUACGCAUGGCCAGCUGGAGGCAUGAGGAGAAGCUUCUGAAAUUUACCACAGCUGGCGUGGAGGAGCACGUGCUUGGGACCGUCCUGAGCUUCUCGACUCUUCUGGAACAGUCUUACUUAGCUGCUAGUUGUGAGUUGGAGCAACGGUAGGAUCAACGUGGCUUCCUUGCUGGAUGGAGAGAAGCUGCGGAAGGCUUGGGGUUUCUGUUGGUGUGACCAUCCACUUGGAAGUCCUGGUUGAUAGGGCUGCUAUUUUGGGCCUCAGUUACUGAGCUGCUUUGUAAUUACUUUGUUGGUCAGGCCUGUAAAAAUAGCACGUUUAAUUAGUGCACUAACGUUUGUCAUAAUAUAUUUAUAUGUAUAUAUAUAAUAAUAAUUUCAUAUACCCA